rnacentral:rRNA from 1 species
CUAAUAGGAAAUUAAGAGCAUAUGGUGGAUGCCUUGACUAGAAGAGGCGAUGAAGGACGUAGCAAAGCUGCGAUAAGCUCCGGGGAGGCGCCAAGCAACCUUUGAUCCGGAGAUCUCCGAAUGGGGAAACCCCUCGUGCAUUGCACGAGACGUGCGAAGCACAAGGAACAAUUGACAAUUAACUUUUGACAAUUGACCGCAGAAUUUUUCGAAGCAAAAUUCUGCCUAGUCACAUGUCAAUUGUCACAGGUCAAAUGUCUCUUGCGCUUCGCGCGAGCAUACCCAGGGAAGUAAAACAUUUCAGUACCUGGAGGAAAAGAGACUAAUAAGAAUUCCGUUAAUAGCGGCGAGCGAAAGCGGAAGAGCCCAAACCACGUGCGAAGCACAAGGAACAAUUGACAAUUAACUUUUGACAAUUGACCGCAGAAUUUUGCGAAUCAAAAUUCUGCCUAGUCACAUGUCAAUUGUCACAGGUCAAAUGUCUCUUGCGCUUCGCGCGCUGGGGUUGUAAGACAGGAACGUAGUAUUUAUAUUAGAGAAGUUACAAAAUGUUGUGUUAACCGAACAAGCUGGAAAGCUUGGCCCAAGGAGGUAACAGCCCCGUAGGUGAAAACGCAAUAUCUUCUUUGUUCCUGUUCUUGAGUACUUCGAGACACGAAUAGCUCGGAGGAAUCCGCCGGAACUAACCGGCAAGGCUAAAUACUCUUCUAGAUCGAUAGUGAACUAGUACCGUGAGGGAAAGGUGAAAAGAACCCCGGAGAGGGGAGUGAAAUAGACCUGAAACCAUAUGCUUACAAGGAGUCAGAGCCGUCGCAUCACAUGGGAUGUGAUGCGACGGAAAUUCGAAAUUCGAAAUUCGAAAUCCGAAAAAAUUCAAAAUAUUAAAUUCAAAACAAGAUUUUUUCUUUUUUGUUUUUUAUAUUUUCUUUAUUUUUUCGUAUUUCGUGCUUCGUGCUCUGAAUUUCCGUUGCAUCGCGUUUUGCGUGAUGAGACGGUCAUGGCGUGCCUAUUGAAGAAUGAGCCAACGAGUUAAUUUGCACUGCUUGCUUAACCCCGCCCUUUUGAUUAACAUUUCAUUUUUUGGGAUGAAUUUGGAAAAUUAGGUGAACAAAUAAUGAGCACCUUAAAUUUUGUUGAUCAAAGAGGCGGGGCGAGGCCUAGCGAAAGCGAGUCUGAACAGGGCGUUUGUAGUGCAAAUUAGACCCGAAGCCAAGUGAGCUUGCCAUGAGCAGGGUGAACUCUGAUGAAAAUCAGAGGGAGGCCCGAACCGUUUAGCCGUGCAAUACUAUCGGAUGACUUGUGGUAAGAAGUGAAAAGCUAAUCGAACUUGGUAAUAGCUGGUUCUCUCCGAAAUAGCUUUUGGGCUAGCGUCGCGUGUUCCUUAUAGGGGUAGAGCACUGGAAGAAUUCGACAGGUCGAAAGAUCGCGAAUUCUAUCAAACUCCGAAUACUAUAAGUCAUAACGCGGCAGUUAGACCGUGGGGGCUAAGCUCCACUGGUCAAAAAGGAAACAGCCUAGAUCUCUAUUUAAGGUCCCUAAAUCUACACUAAGUGCAAGUAAGGUGGUGAAAUUUCUUCAACAAUGAGGAUGUUGGCUUAGAAGCAGCCAUCAUUUAAAGAAAGCGUAACAGCUCACUCAUCAAGAGAUUUUGCGCCGAAGAUAAUCGGGGCUCAAGUGUAGUACCGAAACUGAGGGUACCGUGCAAAGCACAGAAAUCCGAAGCACGAAGCACGAAAUACGAAAAAUAUCUAAAUUUUAAAUUCAAAAUUUUAAACAAUUAUUUUUGUUUGACAUUUUGUUAUUUCGGCUAGCGAGGAGCGUGUGAAUGAUUCUUAUCAUUCACGACGUCCGAGCGAAGACGAAACAAAGGUUCAAUACCUCGAGGAUUGCCCCGAGGAACCUUUAUUUGAAUUUUGGAUUUAUUUCGAAUUUCGAUAUUCGAAUUUCGAAUUUCCGCGCUUUGCGCGGUGCGGUAGGAGAGUAUUCGCAUCUUGCUGUGAAGCCAAAGGGGUGACCCAUGGUGGAGCGUUGCGAAGUAAGAAUGUUGGCACAAGUAACCACAAUGGAGGUGAGAACCCUCCACGCCGAAAGACCAAGGUUUCCUUGGCGAUGACAAUCAGCCAAGGGUUAGUCGGUCCUAAGGGGAUGGCGAAAGCCGAACCCGAUGGAUAUAUGGUUAAUAUUCCAUAACUCUUAUGCAAAAUGAUGGGAGGACGGGGUGUAGUAUGUCUUGCGUAUUAUUGGAUUUACGUUCGUGCUCUGAGGAAGAUUUCCAGGAAAAUCCGGAAGUCUGCUUUUAAUGGCAUUUCCAAGGAGAGCGAGAACUGUGCAAAGCACAAGGAACAAUUGACAAUAAACAUCUGACAAUUGACCGCAGAAUUUUGCAGAGCAAAAUUCUGCCAAGUCAAAAGUUAAAUGUUCACGGGUCAAAUGUCUCUUGCGCUUUGCGCAGAAUAGGACAAAGCACGCCUCCAAGAAAAAUCUCUAAGUUUAUUUGCAUGAGAUCCGUACCGCAAACCGACACAGGUGGUCAGCUCGAGUAGAGUAAGGCGAACGAGUGAAAUUUCCCCAAGGAACUCGGCAAAAAAGCAGCCGUAACUUCGGAAUAAGGCUUGCCUUGUGCGAAGCACAAGGAACAAUUGACACUUAACAAUGGACAAUUGACCGCAGAAUUUUGCAGAGCAAAAUUCUGCCAAGUCAAAAGUUUAAUGUCACAGGUCAAAUGUCUCUUGCGCUUUGCAUGAGGCUGCAACAAAAGUAUCUCUGGCAACUGUUUAUCAAAAACACAGCUCCCUGCGAACUCGUAAGAGGAUGUAUAGGGGGUGACACUUGACCAAUGCCCGAAGGUCAAACGUUGUCGGUUCACAUCAUUCUGCACUUCAUUAUUGGAGGAUAGAAUGGUGUGAGCUGAACGAUGUAAGCCCGGGUGAAUGUCGGCCGUAACUAUAACGGUCCUAAGGUUCCCACUUCGUGCUUGCACGAAGUGGGAAGGACUGGGACUGUUAUAGUUCUGUUAAUGCAAUAAAAUGUAAAAACAUUUUGAUAAACUAAAUAAACAAUAAUCAGUACACUAUUCAAAGCUGCCUCGCUCUGUAGUAAUACAAAGCAGGUCCGCACCAUGGCUAUAUGCGGGGAAGUCUGUAAUUUGCAGAUCAUCCGCAGGGAAGUUCUAAAAUUUUUUUUAGAACCCCUCAGAGACCACACGCCAUGCUCCAGCUGGUUUGUACCAGCUGGAUGAAGAUAUGGUCCUUCGUUAAAGAGGAAACGAAAAGCGAAAUUCCUUGUCGGGUAGGAACUGCCCAACUUGAUAGUGAUAUCAAGAAAAAACUGGCUUAUAACGGUGGAGUCCUCGCUGGAGCGCUUGAGGAGACGCAAUGAAGGCAGGAGAAUACCGUGGGAAGUCGUACUGAGCUUGUUUUACAAGCGAACGUAUUGACCCCGUAUCGACUUCGGUCGCCACUGAAUGUUGGCGACCGAGAUAGUAGAUGAUAUAAUCACUACUAUAAUACGCCAGCUCUAAUGAAUAGAAAUCUUGAAGAGUAUAUUUCGGGAUAUGUAGAUGGAGAAGGAUGUUUUUCCCUAUCAUUUUCCCGAAGAAAUAAAAUGCUUGUAGGGUGGGAGACUAAACCUAGUUUCUCUGUAAGCCAAAACCAAGAGAGAGCGGAAGUGCUCUAUCUUAUUCAAAAAAGAUUUGGUUGUGGGUUUAUCAGACGAGACUAUAGUGACAAAACUCUCAAAUAUGAAGUAAGAAGUCUGGAUGAUCUUUUAAAAAAGAUUAUUCCUCAUUUCGUUACAAACCCGCUUCUUUCAUCCAAGCAAGAUGAUUUUCUAAAGUUUAGAAAAAUAUGUUUGAUGAUGAGUAAAGAGAAACACAAGCAGUCAAAAGGAUUAAAAGAAAUCAUGAAAAUUGCUUUCACGAUGAAUCCUGGAGGCAAAAGAAAAUAUACUCAAGCAAUGAUGAUAUGUUCAUUAGAUGAAGAUAUAGUCAAUACUGAUGGAAACAUCAGAUAGGAAUAUGAAGUUCCGACGCGCACGAAUAGUGUAAUGACUGGAGAACUGUCUCGGGGAAUAGCUCGGUGAAAAUACAAUACCGGUGAAGAUGCCGGUUACCUGCAGUUAGACGAAAAGACCCCAGAAGCUUUACUGCAACUUGGUAUUGAGGAUACGUUUUUAAUGCGUAGCGUAGGUGGGAGGAUUUGAAGUUUACCUUUCGGGGUAGAUGGAUCCGACAGUGAAAUACCACUCUUUAAAAAUGUGUUUUCUAACUUCGUCGGAAAAAACGGCGAAAGACAGUAUCUGGUGGGCAGUUUUAGUGGGGCGCUAUCCUCCUAAAAAGUAACGGAGGAGUUUAUUAAGGUCAGCUAGGCGCGAAUGGAAACCGUGCCGAUAGUGUAAUGGCAUAAGCUGGCUUAACUGUGAGACGUACUUGUCAAACAGAUGCGAAAGCAGAACAUAGUGAACCGACCAUACGCAUUAGACGCGGUGGAAGAUUAUCGGACAAAAGCUACUCUGGGGAUAACAGGCUAGUUCCGCCUAAGAGUCCAUAUCGACGGCGGAGUUCGGCACCUUAACACAUUGGGGUGCCAUGCGAGAGAUUGCAUUAGCUAUUUUAAUGUAUGUGAGACAUGAACCAACAUACAUUAAAAGAAAAAAUUGGCUUAUAACGGUGGACUCCAUGUAACGUGGAUAAUACCGUGGGAACCUAGCAUUAUUAUCGAUAGAUAAUGGUAUGAAAUAAUGCUGGAGGCAGUAAUAUUUAUGAGACUAUGAUAAUUUGUUCAUAAAUUAUACUGGACCCGUAGAGACUUGAGCAUUAAUGCUCGGAGUUUCCUUAUAAUAAGGAAGCUAAGACGCCAACUCCUAAUUUAUCGGAAGAUAAAAAGGAUGAAGAUAUAGUCCAAACCUUCUAGUGAUAGAAGAAAUAAAUGACAGCGAUGUCGGCUCAACUUAUCCUGGGGCUGGAGAAGGUCCCAAGGGUUUGGCUGUUCGCCAAUUAAAAAGUUACGUGAGCUGGGUUCAGACCGUCGCAAGACAGGUUGGUCUCCUAUCUACUGCAGGCGUUGAUUCUUGAGAAGAUUUGCUCCUAGUAAAAUAUUGCUACUUCAGAAAGUAAUUUCUGAUGACAAUGUGGCUAAUAACGGUGGAGGCUUCCAUUUGCUGCAAAAUGUCGGUCCGAUAUUUGCAGAAUAAAACAAAUUGAAGUUAAUACCGUGGGAAGUUGUGAGUUUCGUUGAAGUUCUUUAUGUUGGGUGUAGCUUAAAAAAUAAUAACCUUGUGUUGGUGAGAUAGGCUUGCGCGUAGGCCUACUGAGCUGGCACUUUGGAAGAGGUUAUAGCACCGGAUCAUUAAUCCAAACGUCAAGGUUCGAGUCCUUGCACCCAACGCCAAUUUUGGGCAAAUAGUUUUAUUUGCCCCUUCAACGAAACUCGCAACCCCGUAACGACUGAGUCCUUCGGGACGAGAUGAGAGAUGCCUUAGUGCUAGACAUUAAGAUCACACUUUCAUAAUACGCCAACAUCCUAAGUUUGUACGAUGUAUCGUACAAAACGGAUGAAGAUAUAGUCUAUGCCUCUGGUGACAGAGGAUUCGUUCUGCGAUUGUCCGCGUUAAGUCUGCGGCAGUCUGCGGUUUACGAAGUAAACAUGACGAGAGGACCGGAGUGAACUGACCUCUGGUGUAUCUGCUGUUCCUGCCAAGGGCAAUGCAGAGUAGCUAUGUUGGGAAGGGAUAACCUCUGAAAGCAUCUAAGAGGGAAGCCUACUUCAAGAUUAGGAAUCGAACAGUGCAUGGCACUGGAAAUUCGAAACCCGAAACCCAAAAAACGACUUUGUCGUUCCCGUGCAGAAGGGAAUCCAGGAUGAUCUGGUUUUCCGCUUUCGCGGAGAUGACAGAAUUAUGUCAUUUUUGAGCUUCGUGUUUCGUGCUUCCAAUGCCGUGCAUUGUAGAGACCCGUAAGAGAUGAUUACGUUGAUAGGCUUCAGGUGUACGCACAGUAAUGUGUUUAGCCGAGAAGUACUAAUCCGUCCAUAACCUAUUAGGA